rnacentral:rRNA from 1 species
CCGGCACGGGUGCGUAGCGCGUAUGCAACCUACCUUUAACAGGGGGAUAACACUGAGAAAUUGGUACUAAUACCCCAUAAUAUCGUAGAAGGCAUCUUUUAUGGUUGAAAAUUCCGAUGGUUAGAGAUGGGCAUGCGUUGUAUUAGCUAGUUGGUGGGGUAACGGCUCACCAAGGCGACGAUCAGUAGCCGGACUGAGAGGUUGAACGGCCACAUUGGGACUGAGACACGGCCCAG